CUUUUCCCGCCGAAAAGGAGGAGAGGUGGGGGUGAGGGCAAGAUGGCGGCGGAGCCCACCCGUGAGGGGAGAGGGGGCUCCCGCCUCACGCAGCUGCCUCAGGGCGCCAUGGCCCCCUCCUGUGCGCUCAUGUGUACUCCUGUGUGCUCCCUGGUGCUCCUGUAAUAUAUGUACUCCUCUGUAUACUCCUGUGCACAGCAAACUGAGACUGUGUACUCCAGUGGACUCCUGUGCACUCAUGUGUGCUCCUGUGUACUCCUGUAAUAUGUCUUCCUGUGUACUCCACCACAAACUGUGACAGCUUCAACCCACAGCCCUCUUCCCUCACUCUUGAGCCACUUGAGCUCCCCUUGAGCCACUUCCUGAGGCGCAAAGGAUUGCAGUUCUCUGGCCCCCGUUACCCACAGUGAGCCCCGGGAGUUUUUAUUGUACUGUUGCAAAAUGUAGAAGAAAUUCUUUGCGGGGAGAGUCAUCAGACAUUGCAAUGGGCUGCCCAUCUAGAUGGAGGAUUCACCAUCCCUCGACUUGUUUAAGAGGCUGGAUGUGGCACUCAGAGCUAUGGUCUAGUAGUUGUCACUGAUUGAGGUUGAAUAGAUGUGAGUUUGCCAGAUUGUGUCAAGUGUGCUGGGAAUAUUUAGAUAACAAAGAUCACACUUUGUGGAAAGUGCACUUUAUUUUAGGGAGAUUGGAGGUGGAUCUGCCUAGACAGAGCUGCAACAGUGGAGGGGACACGGAUGGUGUAGAAUCCCUCGUCCUCUUUGUGGGCACACGGCACCGUCAGAGAAGCCUCCCGGUCCUGGUACUUCAGCUCCUGACGUUGGGAAUUCUGCAGCAACUCACCUGUGGAGCAUGAGAAGGGGGACAGGAACUUCACCUGGAGUGGCUGGUUAGGAGUGGCAUAAAAAAAAAAGCAGCAAAACCCACAAAAGAGCAAGAUGAGAGUCUGUAAGACAUUCCUGAUGUUAUUGUUGUGCCUCCAAGUUAUAGCCAUGGACUGCUCCAACUUUGCUGCAUUGUUCCUGCUUUCCAAAAAGCAGAUAAAGAUCACCAGUGUGGCCAAGAUGGAAAUCCCUGAUUGCCAGCUGAGUAUAACGAAAGUUUUUUCCACUUGGUGCUUUCUCUGGAUAGGACUAAGGCUUUUAAGUUAUUCCCGUGGGCAGGAAUGUCCUUACCUCUGAAACAUUUUAGUGGUAUCAGCCUUUACAAGUGGGGAAAACACAGAAAUUAAAUAGUGGCAUCUGUAUCUUGAGGAGAGCUGAGAGCAGCUCAGGAAUCCUGAAUUUUGAUUCUUUUCUGUGAACAUUCAAUCACAGCUAUAAAUUCCAAGGGUACAUUCUUAGAGGUAAAGACAUAUAAACUUAGGUGUUGUCUACAAACCAUCUCUGAACCAGGUGAUGUCUCGUUGGUGGUCAAGUAAAUCAGAAGAGAAGUAACAGGAGAGGGUGAAAGGCUCCUUUUCUCUUGAAAAUAAGGGUUUCAUUGGAAAAGCAAAAUCUGCCUCUCUGGCCAUAAGGGAUCCUGUGGAAUAAGAGUAAAAGUCAGCAAGAUAAAGAGGCCUCCAGAGCUUUCCUCCCUGUAGUGUUUUUAUUGUCAUACAUUUAGAGUGGUACCUGAGCUUGCACUUUGCACAUGCAGUCAGGCUAAUGGGAAAAGCUCUGGCUCAGGAAAAAAAAAGAAUCAAGUUGCUUCAGGCUAUAAAAAUAAAUAACAAUAACAUCAAUGAUUUACUCACUUUUGUAUAUUUCUGAAUCAA